CCCCUAGAUGUUCUGGGCCGCACGCGCGCUACACUGAACAGUUCAACAAGUCUUAACCUUGGCCGAUAGGUCUGGGUAAUCUUUGAACGCUGUUCGUGAUUGGGAUAGACCUUUGCAAUUAUGGGUCUUCAACGAGGAAUUCCUAGUAAACGCAAGUCAUCAGCUUGCAUUGAUUACGUCCCUGCCCUUUGUGCACACCGCCCGUCGCACCUACCGAUUGAAUGGUCCGGUGAAAUCUCGGGACGGCGGCUUGGUCGCUUGCGUCCGACUGCUGAAACUUGAUUAAACCAUAUCAUUUAGAGGAAGGUGAANUCGUANCA
rnacentral:rRNA from 1 species